CGCAGUCCACAGACAAGACGGCCUCUCUCCCAGUGCGACUCGGACGCCGCGACGGUGAAGCAGAGAUGCGCUUGUGGUGUGUGUUGACAGCAGUGGCGGCGAUUGUGUUCGCGCUGAUAACCUCGAACAGGGCUGCCAACGUUGUGACUGUGCGAGGUUAUCGACAGACGACUACGACGCCGGCGUUGAAUUCGACGACUCCGAAAAUAUCGCAGAUCAUCAAUGUAAGACCGAGGAAUCCCGCCUGCCCAGAUGGUCAGAAGUUCCUGAAGGGCAAGUGCCGCGUAGUCAUCAGGCCGUGAAGAUGCGGCUGCACAUGUGGUUCGCAGCUGUAGCCCUAGUCGUCCUCGCGCUAGUAGCUCCUCAGAGAGCAGAUAACGUCGUGGGCGUGCGUCAUUUCUGGCCCGCCACACGACGUCCGACAACGCAGAGACCAGCGCUUCCAGAGGUUGAUGGCGCUAGGAUUCUGAACGUGAGGCCGAGGAGGACGCACUGCCCCCCUGGCCACUGGUUCUUCAAGAAACGGUGCCGUAAAAUCUACAGGAACAGCGCCAAGCCAAGGCGGUAGAACCUACAUGGAGUUUGGAGGUGUGCUGUUAGAUAUCUCAUCCGUAAACUUAAUGGAAAAUUAAUUUACGUAGCUUUUAAGAAAACUAUGUAACGCUGUCAUUAGUCUUUGUCGAUGUUUUAAUAAAUACUAAUAGAAACACA